UACGUAGGGGGCUAGCGUUGUCCGGAAUCAUUGGGCGUAAAGAGCGCGUAGGCGGCUAGAUAAGUCCGGUGUGAAAGUCACAGGCUCAACCUGUGAAUGCCGCUGGAAACUGUCUGGCUAGAGUCCGGAAGGGGCGAGUGGAAUUCCUGGUGUAGCGGUGAAAUGCGCAGAUAUCAGGAGGAACACCAAUGGCGAAGGCAGCUCGCUGGGGCGGUACUGACGCUGAGGCGCGAAAGCGUGGGGAGCAAACAGG
rnacentral:rRNA from 1 species